GAUGAACGCUGGCUACAGGCUUAACACGUGCAAGUCGAGGGGCAGCAUUUCAGUUUGCUUGCAAACUGGAGAUGGCGACCGGCGCACGGGUGAGUAACACGUAUCCAACCUGCCGAUAACUCGGGGAUAGCCUUUCGAAAGAAAGAUUAAUACCCGAUGGUAUAAUCAGACCGCAUGGUCUUGUUAUUAAAGAAUUUCGGUUAUCGAUGGGGAUGCGUUCCAUUAGGCAGUUGGUGAGGUAACGGCUCACCAAACCUUCGAUGGAUAGGGGUUCUGAGAGGAAGGUCCCCCACAUUGGAACUGAGACACGGUCCAAACUCCUACGGGAGGCAGCAGUGAGGAAUAUUGGUCAAUGGGCGCAGGCCUGAACCAGCCAAGUAGCGUGAAGGAUGACUGCCCUAUGGGUUGUAAACUUCUUUUAUAUGGGAAUAAAGUUUUCCACGUGUGGAAUUUUGUAUGUACCAUAUGAAUAAGGAUCGGCUAACUCCGUGCCAGCAGCCGCGGUAAUACGGAGGAUCCGAGCGUUAUCCGGAUUUAUUGGGUUUAAAGGGAGCGUAGGUGGACAGUUAAGUCAGUUGUGAAAGUUUGCGGCUCAACCGUAAAAUUGCAGUUGAUACUGGCUGUCUUGAGUACAGUAGAGGUGGGCGGAAUUCGUGGUGUAGCGGUGAAAUGCUUAGAUAUCACGAAGAACUCCGAUUGCGAAGGCAGCUCACUGGACUGCAACUGACACUGAUGCUCGAAAGUGUGGGUAUCAAACAGGAUUAGAUACCCUGGUAGUCCACACAGUAAACGAUGAAUACUCGCUGUUUGCGAUAUACAGUAAGCGGCCAAGCGAAAGCAUUAAGUAUUCCACCUGGGGAGUACGCCGGCAACGGUGAAACUCAAAGGAAUUGACGGGGGCCCGCACAAGCGGAGGAACAUGUGGUUUAAUUCGAUGAUACGCGAGGAACCUUACCCGGGCUUAAAUUGCAUUUGAAUAUAUUGGAAACAGUAUAGCCGUAAGGCAAAUGUGAAGGUGCUGCAUGGUUGUCGUCAGCUCGUGCCGUGAGGUGUCGGCUUAAGUGCCAUAACGAGCGCAACCCUUAUCUUUAGUUACUAACAGGUCAUGCUGAGGACUCUAGAGAGACUGCCGUCGUAAGAUGUGAGGAAGGUGGGGAUGACGUCAAAUCAGCACGGCCCUUACGUCCGGGGCUACACACGUGUUACAAUGGGGGGUACAGAAGGCAGCUACCUGGUGACAGGAUGCUAAUCCCAAAAGCCUCUCUCAGUUCGGAUCGAAGUCUGCAACCCGACUUCGUGAAGCUGGAUUCGCUAGUAAUCGCGCAUCAGCCAUGGCGCGGUGAAUACGUUCCCGGGCCU
rnacentral:rRNA from 1 species